CAGCAAGCCUGCAGCGUGCUGGGGUCUGCAGUGACCCUGCUGCAUUCCUACACUGCUUGCCAGGACACUUUUGAAAUGGUUUGAGGCCUUGCCCUGCCCUCUCCAGAGCAAGGUGAUAGAAAUUCCAGACAAUU
rfam:Ictidomys tridecemlineatus contig018600, whole genome shotgun sequence.